AGUCCAGUACUACACAGAUACUUCCUUAGUGCUUAGCAUUGCAGUCCAGUACUACACAGAUACUUCCUUAGUGCUUAGCAUUGCAGUCCAGUACUACACAGAUACUUCCUUAGUGCUUAGCAUUGCAGUCCAGUACUACACAGAUACUUCCUUAGUGCUUAGCAUUGCAGUCCAAUACUACACAGAUACUUCCUUAGUGCUUAGCAUUGCAGUCCAGUACUACACAGAUACUUCCUUAGUGCUUAGCAUUGCAGUCCAGUACUACACAGAUACUUCCUUAGUGCUUAGCAUUGCAGUCCAGUAAAGCGUUCUCUCCUCCACCGUUCUAGGUGGUACUGUCAGAGCAUCACCAGAUCAGAGGCUGAACAGCUGCUACGACAGGAGGUUCCAGUCCGGGUUUUGUUCUUUCUUCGAUCAAUCAAUCAAUUAGCCAGACUAUCUGUUGGUCAGGUAGUCUGCUUGUCUAUCUGUUUCUCCUGUGCUGUAAAUCUGUAGAUAUUCUACAAUUGUUCAUUUAAUCUCUACAGGCUAAAGAGGGAGGGUUUGUGGUGAGGGAGUCGAGUCAACAAAGCUGUUACACUGUUUCAGUGUUCACUAAAGCUCUGGGUAUAAACGGUGGUAUCAGACACUACCAGAUAAAGCUCAAUGAUUCUGGAAGCUUCUAUCUUUUGUGAGAAGCACAUCUUCACCUCGAUACCUGAACUCAUAGAGUACCACAACCACAACGCUGCAGGUAGAGUGUACACACACACACACACACACACACACACACACACACACACACACACACACACACACACACACACCACACACACACACACACACACACACACACACACACACACACACACACACACACAUACACACACACUCCCUCUCGCCCUCUGUGUGUGCAGGUCUGGUGACCAGGUUAAGGUAUGCAGUAGGACCUAUGGGCAGGUGUGUCCCUGCUACACCAGGCUUCAGCUCAGAGAAAUGGGAGAUUGACCCUAGUGAGUUGACUGUAAUGAAGGAGCUGGGUUGUGGUCAGUUUGGGUUGGUGAGGCUGGGGAAAUGGAGAGCUCUGUGUAAGGUGGCCAUCAAAACAAUCAACGAAGGAGCCAUGCACGAAGAAGACUUCAUAGAGGAGGCUAAGAUUAUGAUGUGAGUAGAACAUGUGUAACACACACACACACACACACUGAUAAAGACACGCACACACACUGUUAAAGACACAAACACACACACACACACUGAUAAAGACACACACACACACACACACUGUUAAAGACACAAACACACACACACACACUGAUAAAGACACACACACGGACAGAGAGACAGAGAGAGACACACACACACACACACACACACACACACACACACACACACACACACACACACACUGUUAAAGACACAAACACACAGACACUGAUAAAGACACACAGACACUGAUAAACACAAACACUGAUAAAGAGAGUGGCCUCGGAGCUGGGAACAGGCUAAGAGUGGUGUGUGAUUUGCUAUCAUUGUCACACCCCCACAUCUCUAGUCUAACCACACAAACACACACACACACACACACACACACACACACACUCCAUCUCUAAUCACACGUUCCAUCUACUGUUUAGUUUCCAUUUAGUUUCCAUCUACUGUUUAGUUUCCAUCUACUGUUUAGUUUCCAUCUACUGUUUAGUUUCCAUCUACUGUUUAGUUUCCAUCUACUGUUUAGUUUUCAUUUAGUUUCCAUCUACUGUUUAGUUUCCAUUUAGUUUCCAUCUACUGUUUAGUUUCCAUUUAGUUUCCAUCUACUGUUUAGUUUCUAUCUACUGUUUAGUUUCCAUCUACUGUUUAGUUUCCAUCUACUGUUUAGUUUCUAUCUACUGUUUAGUUUCCAUUUAGUUUCCAUCUACUGUUUAGUUUCUAUCUACUGUUUAGUUUCCAUCUACUGUUUAGUUUCUAUCUACUGUUUAGUUUCCAUCUACUGUUUAGUUUCCAUCUACUGUUUAGUUUCCAUCUACU
ensembl:lncRNA